GAUCAAGUCUAAUUGAAUUAGAUUCAAUUCGACUUAGGUUAGAUUUGAUAUGAUCAAGUCUGAUUAUAAGAAAAAUUUAAUCCUGAUUCGAUCAGAACUUGAACUCAGCUAAUUUUUAAUUAGAUUAGAUCUAUUUCUAUCAUUGGGUUCAAAUCAAAUUUGAUUUGGAUUAGAAUCGAAUUAUAAAUGAAGAGUCCUAGUCGGCAGGGACUCCAUCCUUAUCUCUUGCGCC
rnacentral:lncRNA from 1 species